rnacentral:rRNA from 1 species
AACGUGCGCCUGUACUCGGUGGACGCCCACGGCCGGCGCGGUGUGGUCUUCCGGUCGAUGGACGCCUCACGGCUGGUACCGGUGGUGAUGGGCCGCUUCGUGUUCCGGCUGCCCUAC